GAAAUGCGAUAAGUAAUGUGAAUUGCAGAAUUCAGUGAAUCAUCGAAUCUUUGAACGCAUCUUGCGCUCCUUGGUAGUCCUUGGAGCAUGCCUGUUUGAGUAUCAUGAAAUCUUCAAAGUAAAUCUUUUGUUAACUCAAUUGGUUUCUACUUUGGUAUUGGAGGUCUUUGCAGCUUCACACCUGCUCCUCUUUGUUCAUUAGCUGGAUCUCAGUGUUAUGCUUGGUUCCACUCGGCGUGAUAAGUUAUCUAUCGCUGAGGACACUGUAAAAGGUGGCCAAGGUAAAUGCAGAUGAACCGCUUCUAAUAGUCCAUUGACUUGGACAAUACUUUUAUGAUCUGAUCUCAAAUCAGGUAGGACUACCCGCUGAACUUAAGC
rnacentral:misc_RNA from 1 species